rnacentral:rRNA from 1 species
AGCAGCCGCGGUAAUUCCAGCUCCAAUAGCGUAUAUUAAAGUUGUUGCAGUUAAAAAGCUCGUAGUUGAACUUCGGGGUUUACCCAUUGGUCAGGCUUAAUUGUCUGUACUGGUGAGAUGAAUCUCUACCUUCUGAGGAACUUUCAUGCCAUUUAUUUGGUGUGAUGGGAAAUCAGGACUGUUACUUUGAAAAAAUUAGAGUGUUUAAAGCAGGCUAACGUCUGAAUACAUUAGCAUGGAAUAAUGAAAUAGGACGGACUGAUUCUAUUUCGUUGGUUUCUAGGAUCACCGUAAUGAUUAAUAGGGAUAGUUGGGGGCAUUAGUAUUCAAUUGUCAGAGGUGAAAUUCUUGGAUUUAUUGAAGACUAACUACUGCGAAAGCAUUUGCCAAGGAUGCUUUCAUUAAUCAAGAACGAAAGUUAGGGGAUCGAAGACGAUCAGAUACCGUCGUAGUCUUAACCAUAAACUAUGCCGACUAGGGAUCGGACGAAGUUAAUUUUAUAAUUGACGCGUUCGG